CAACUUUAGGUUAUAAACAUGUCCUGUUCCCAACAGUAGGUAUUAUAAUCAACUUUAGGUUAUAAACAUGUCCUGUUCCCAACAGUAGGUAUUAUAAUCAACUUUAGGUUAUAAACAUGUCCUGUUCCCAACAGUAGGUAUUAUAAUCAACUUUAGGUUAUAAACAUGUCCUGUUCCCAACAGUAGGUAUUAUAAUCAACUUUAGGUUAUAAACAUGUGUUCCCAACAGUAGGUAUUAUAAUCAACUUUAGGUUAUAAACAUGUCCUGUUCCCAACAGUAGGUAUUAUAAUCAACUUUAGGUUAUAAACAUGUCCUGUUCCCAACAGUAGGUAUUAUAAUCAACUUUAGGUUAUAAACAUGUGUUCCCAACAGUAGGUAUUAUAAUCAACUUUAGGUUAUAAACAUGUGUUCCCAACAGUAGGUAUUAUAAUCAACUUUAGGUUAUAAACAUGUCCUAUUCAACCAUUAUAAUGAAUACCGUCAAUGUAAAUAAGAAUUUGUUCUUAACUGACUUGACGAGUUAAAUUAAGUAAAUACAUACAUAUAGGAUCUCAGUGUGGUGGAGUAGUCAUUGUGUUUGCUGAUGGACACCAAUUUCUUAACAAUAAAUCAUAAAUUACUGGGUUGCUGAUGAAGGCAACGGACCUAACAAUUAAGUAUAUCUAUUUUUAAUCAACUUCCACUAUCCUCUAAGAGUUGCUGAAUCUCCUCUCCAGUC